rnacentral:rRNA from 1 species
GACGAACGCUGGCGGCGUGCUUAACACAUGCAAGUCGAACGGAAAGGCCCUGCUUUUGUGGGGUGCUCGAGUGGCGAACGGGUGAGUAACACGUGAGUAACCUGCCCUUGACUUUGGGAUAACUUCAGGAAACUGGGGCUAAUACCGGAUAGGAGCUCCUGCUGCAUGGUGGGGGUUGGAAAGUUUCGGCGGUUGGGGAUGGACUCGCGGCUUAUCAACUUGUUGGUGGGGUAGUGGCUUACCAAGGCUUUGACGGGUAGCCGGCCUGAGAGGGUGACCGGCCACAUGGGGACUGAGAUACGGCCCAGACUCCUACGGGAGGCAGCAGUGGGGAAUAUUGCACAAUGGGCGGAAGCCUGAUGCAGCAACGCCGCGUGCGGGAUGACGGCCUUCGGGCUGUAAACCGCUUUCGCCUGUGACGAAGCGUGAGUGACGGUAAUGGGUAAAGAAGCACCGGCUAACUACGU